UACGGGGGGGGCAAGCGUUGUUCGGAAUUACUGGGCGUAAAGGGCGCGUAGGCGGUUCGCUAAGUUGGAUGUGAAAACUCUGGGCUCAACCCAGAGCCUGCAUCCAAAACUGGCGGGCUAGAGUUCUGGAGGGGGUAGCGGAAUUCCUGGUGUAGCGGUGAAAUGCGCAGAUAUCAGGAGGAACACCGAUGGCGAAGGCAGAUCUCUGGGCCGUAACUGACGCUGAGGAGCGAAAGCAUGGGGAGCGAACAGG
rnacentral:rRNA from 1 species